rnacentral:snRNA from 1 species
UGAGGUGGUCUGGCUGCAGCAUCUGUCACUCCACAGAUCACCAGGGACAGUUCAGCUGAUCUGGCUGGCUAGGUAGGGGUCCUCUUCCUCCAUUCCAUGUGUGCAUCCCCACAGAAGCAACAUACUUGGUUAAAGGGAUGAGCUUCCUCAAGAGGACUGGUCAGUCAAGGGUGAGGGGUGAGUGAGUAGCUUCAGUCGGCAGGCAGAUCUCUUUAAGGCCAGCCUGGUCUACAAGAGCUAGUUUCCAGGACAGGCUCCAAAGCUACAGAGAAACCGUCUUGAAAAACCAAAAAAGAAAAAGAAACCAAAAUACCUUCAGAUGAAAGGUGGCUUU